UCUCUGGUGGUCCAGUGGCUAAGAUGCUGUACUCAAACGUAGAGGCCCCAGGUUCGAUCCCUGGUCAGGGAA
rnacentral:tRNA from 1 species